CGUAACUAUAACGGUCCUAAGGUAGCGAAAUUCCUUGUCGGGUAAGUUCCGACCUGCACGAAUGGCGUAAUGAUGGCCAGGCUGUCUCCACCCGAGACUCAGUGAAAUUGAACUCGCUGUGAAGAUGCAGUGUACCCGCGGCAAGACGGAAAGACCCCGUGAACCUUUACUAUAGCUUGACACUGAACAUUGAGCCUUGAUGUGUAGGAUAGGUGGGAGGCUUUGAAGUGUGGACGCCAGUCUGCAUGGAGCCGACCUUGAAAUACCACCCUUUAAUGUUUGAUGUUCUAACGUGGGCCCCUUACCGGGGUUGCGGACAGUGUCUGGUGGGUAGUUUGACUGGGGCGGUCUCCUCCUAAAGAGUAACGGAGGAGCACGAAGGUUGGCUAAUCCUGGUCGGACAUCAGGAGGUUAGUGCAAUGGCAUAAGCCAGCUUGACUGCGAGCGUGACGGCGCGAGCAGGUGCGAAAGCAGGUCAUAGUGAUCCGGUGGUUCUGAAUGGAAGGGCCAUCGCUCAACGGAUAAAAGGUACUCCGGGGAUAACAGGCUGAUACCGCCCAAGAGUUCAUAUCGACGGCGGUGUUUGGCACCUCGAUGUCGGCUCAUCACAUCCUGGGGCUGAAGUAGGUCCCAAGGGUAUGGCUGUUCGCCAUUUAAAGUGGUACGCGAGCUGGGUUUAGAACGUCGUGAGACAGUUCGGUCCCUAUCUGCCGUGGGCGCUGGAGAACUGAGGGGGGCUGCUCCUAGUACGAGAGGACCGGAGUGGACGCAUCACUGGUGUUCGGGUUGUCAUGCCAAUGGCACUGCCCGGUAGCUAAAUGCGGAAGAGAUAAGUGCUGAAAGCAUCUAAGCACGAAACUUGCCCCGAGAUGAGUUCUCCCUGACUCCUUGAGAGUCCUGAAGGAACGUUGAAGACGACGACGUUGAUAGGCCGGGUGUGUAAGCGCAGCGAUGCGUUGAGCUAACCGGUACUAAUGAACCGUGAGGCUUAACCUU
rnacentral:rRNA from 1 species